GACGAACGCUGGCGGCGUGCCUAAUACAUGCAAGUCGAACGAAGCUGUUUUAACUGGUGCUUGCACCGACUUAAACAACUGAGUGGCGAACGGGUGAGUAACACGUGGGUAACCUGCCCCAAAGCGGGGGAUAACAUUUGGAAACAGAUGCUAAUACCGCAUAACCACAGAAACCACAUGGUUUCUGUGUCAAAGAUGGUUUCGGCUAUCACUUUGGGAUGGACCCGCGGCGUAUUAGCUAGUUGGUAAGGUAAUGGCUUACCAAGGCAAUGAUACGUAGCCGAACUGAGGGGUUGAUCGGCCACAUUGGGACUGAGACACGGCCCAAACUCCUACGGGAGGCAGCAGUAGGGAAUCUUCCACAAUGGACGAAAGUCUGAUGGAGCAACGCCGCGUGAGUGAAGAAGGCUUUCGGAUCGUAAAACUCUGUUGUCAGAGAAGAACGUGUGCGAGAGUAACUGCUCGUGCAGUGACGGUAUCUGGCCAGAAAGCCACGGCUAACUACGUGCCAGCCGCCGCAGUAA
rnacentral:rRNA from 1 species